UAAAUAUAUAUAUAUACCAUUGAACUUGAUGGAUACGAAUUAUACGAAACUAAUUUUAACAAUUCAACCGUCAAACUUGUUUGUAUAUGCUUCGAGAUCGCAUCAUUAAAAAAUCGCAAAAUACAAACAUUCAGAGAUCAAAUAACCGAACAAAACUUUUUUACGGUUAUAAAACGAAAAAUCACGAUUUAACGGUUAUUUUAACUCCGAUUUUUAUGAUUUUUUACAGCUACACUUCUUGACCCUAUAUGAAUACAAUGAAUGAAUUCGAUCUUCAAUUUAAAAUAUUUACACUAGUGGAUACCACAAAAUCUUAUGUUAUACGCAAUGAAAUUAUGAAUAAACUCUUAAAUGUUAGUGAAUCUAUUGUUUUGAUGGGAUACGCAUUAUACAAAACUAGUUUUAACGAUCCAACGAUCCAACCAUCAAAUAUGUUUGUAUAUACUUCAAGAUCGCAUACGCCAAAAAUAUUAAAAAACAAACAUUCAGAAAUCAAAUAACGGGAUAAAACUUUUCAACGGUUAUAAAAAGAAAAAUCACUAUUUAACAGUUAUUUUAACUCCGAUUUUGAUGAUUUUUUUAUAGCUACACUCCUUGACCCUAUAUGAAUACAAUGAAUGAAUUCGAUCUUCAAUUUAAAAUAUUUAGACUAGUGGAUAUCACAAAAUCUUAUGUUAUACUUGAUGAAAGUAUGAAUAAACUCUUAAGUGUUAGUGAUCUAUUGUUUUGAUGGGAUACGCAUUCUACAAAACUAGUUUUAACGAUUCAACUGUCAAACAUGUUUGUAUAUACUUUGAGAUCGCAUACGCGAAAAAUUGUAAAAAACAAACAUAUAAAGAUCAAGUAAUGGGACAAAACCUUUCGACGGUUAUAAAAAGAAAAAUCACGAUUUAACGGUUAUUUUAACUCCGAUUUUGAUGAUUUUUUACAGCUACACUCCUUGACCCU
rnacentral:lncRNA from 1 species